rnacentral:piRNA from 1 species
CAGAUGUCAUCAUGAGUGUGUGUUUCCA